AAGAAAGCCAUUAUCAGUAGCAAUAAGAAGUGAAACAUUUGUGUAUAAUUAUGCAUUUGGGGAUAAUUUUAUAAACCAGAAGGCUGGGGUUUUUUUUAUAAUUCUGUACCUUCUAAAGAAUCUUGCAUAAAUAAUAGAUUUCCUGCCUCAUUCUGCUAUGUAAAAUGAAAAUUCUUCACUAAUACCAUCUAAAUAUGUAUUGAUAGCCCUCAUCUUGCAUUUUUUACCUUUUUGUAAUAACUCAGGUCUCUGCAAGGUUAAGCAGGUGUAUCUAGGAGUGAAGUAACACGGAACUUUGUCUUCCUUAUUAUUUCUCAUUCUAGAUGUAUAAACAUUUAUCAAUUUUUCUCUCUGGGAAACAUUAUAUCUUCCAAAUAUUUCCAAUAAAUUUAAUAGUGAUCCACAGGACGUCCAUUGGUCAUCAGAAAGAGGUCCAUCAGUUGUGCAGAUGAGGGGAGGAUGAAGUAUAGUUAUAUAUCUAGAAGAGUAAGGGGGAGUUUCUUUCCAUCUAAAUUGCAAAAUGCCUUUAAAGCACAUCCAAAUGUACAUCUCUGCUAAGCUCUGGAGCUAAGAUACUGCUCCGAAAGUUUGCAGUGGAAAUACUGAUGCUUGAGUAGGUGCUUCUCAUUUCGCUCACUGAUGUGCAAAUAACAUUAAGUCCUGCCUUAACCCACAGCUGUGAAAAGCUGUGUGGUGCAGUGUGUUAUUUCUCACAUCGAGUUUAUACAGACCUCUGGAGACAUUUAUGGUUGCAGGUUCUAGGAAACCAGAUGAUAAAUAUUGGGGGGGGGGCGGAUCUUUUGGACAAGCUGUUAUAAGUAGUUGAAGCUCAUGCGUAAAGUACUGCACUAAACUUGUACAAUUGCAAAGAUAAUUUUAAAAUGAAAAGAUUUUAUUCAGCAGGAUAUGCAGAGUUGCAGUUUCCUGCACCAUCCCAGGUAGGUCAUUUCUGCCACACCAGAGGCUGCCUUGGUGAGGGACGCUGAGAAAGAGGGCAGGAGAGAAGUAAUACCAAGCUUCUGGCUACCCACCUUUCUAGCACUGCAAAACCUAUUCAAGUCCUGCACAAAAAUCUCUGUUUUAAAUGGUCAAAAUAAUGCCACUGAGCCAAUGUUGCAGAGACUGUCUUUAAAGAUUAAAUAUGAUAAUGUAGAUAAAAUCUCUUUGUCAACUGGGAAAGAAGGAAAAAUGACGUAGGAUUUUUUCACUUACUUAUCCUUUUAUUUACCUGUGUUGAACACUUGCCGUGUGGUGUGUUGCCAUUAGGAAUGAUUCUUCUUUUGGAGAAGUAUACAGGCUAAAGAUAUAGAAAUUACUUUACUGAUUGCAAUGAGUCCAUAUCUAUGAUACAUAUUUGUGUGGAGUUCAUCAAAGCCCUUUGAAGAAAUACCAGAACUCAAACCACAGGAGACAGCUCAAGAAGGGAAUUUCUGGACAGAGACCUAGAGUUUUCAAAUUUUCUUCAUUCAAUAUAUAUGGCUUUGGUAAUUGAUGGAAAAUUAAAAACAGAUGUGGGAGCCCAGCAAUAUGGGAGUGACAUCAAACAGGUAAUUAAAGACAGUCCCCAACCUGAAGAAAUGGAGAAUGAUAUCCGGCACUAGGUAAGCAUCACAAACAGCCUCGAAGGUGAGCUGAUUUCCACCUUACUGUGCUUCCUGCAGGUCCCCACUGCCAUUUACCUUAAUGCCUCUGUCACCAGGAAACACACCCUGCAACUCUCACAGUGAGAAGCUCACCAGCCAAUAGGCGUGCACACCCACACCCUUCUGCACUUCCUUUCUCUUAAAGUGACAGGAAGUCUUUAAUGCCAUUAAUAUGGGUGACCACAUCCAGCAUGCCUCCGAGCAUUUAUGCACAGCUGCGGAUAGUUUUGCCUGUGCCCUUUUCUGGCACACCAUAGGUUUUGGCACUGGCUAGUGUAUUGGAAAGUCUAACGUGGUUCUAGAAGAGUCCUUGUUGAAUAAUUCCCAUUUUCCUCUCCAUCUUCCUUCACCCCUACUUCCCUUUCAAUAAAACACUUAACAGAGAGAAGUUUAUUCCCAGCUCAGUUCUGAGAUAUGAAUAGUAAAAGGACAGCAGAUGAACCCUUGAUUAAAUUUCGGUAAUGUUCCUCUGAGUGAUUUAUCAGUGCCAUUACCCAGGCAACUGAAAAUUUCUUUCCCAAAAUCAAUCCUCCUGAAUUCCAUGGGCUUUCCCCCUUCUACUCCUCUGGUAACCCCUGUUAUCUAAAAUCCUAAUUUCAUAUCCACUGUGAUACAGAGCAUGAGAGUGGCUCACUUAUAUUUAUCUUAAAUUCAGUUUAAAGAAAUAAUGACAGGUACAAUAUAUAGCUCACUCUAGUUUUUAUGAAUUUUUUUUUUUUUUGCUUGCUUUCUUCUGCUCCUAGCUCCUUGCAAUCUGUGGUUGUUGUUUUGGAUGGUUUAUUUUGUCACAUCCAAUAGCAAAUUUAUUUUUCUUCUUUAGCCUUAUAUUAGGCCCUGGAAAGGCAAAAUCAUUUUGUUGAAGCUAUAGAUUUACCUUUUUAGUUUCAGCUUAGGUAAGUUGCACCUUAUACUCACCUCUUCUGUUCGGUGAACAAAUUUUCUCUGACCCAGCUUCAGAUUUUCUUUGCCAGACCACUCAUCUUCAAUUUUGUCACUUAGUGCAGCAUUCAACUGGAAAAUGUCACUCGCAUGAGUUCUACAAGUUCUGGAGCUCUUAAAGGAGUUCAGACAGGAGCACCAGGAGUCCUAUUAGCCUAGGACGGUGCAGCAUAAACAGGAUCCUGACUCUGGAUCAGACAGACUUGUGGUCAAAUUCUUUCACUGCCACAUUUUACAAGGCUGUGUGAUCUUUACAAAAUUAGCUGCAGUGGUACCGCAGUUCCUCAAAUUAAUUCUUUCUGUGAUUUUGCCUGCAACCAAAUAGAACAUGAGUUUCUCUAAAUAAAAGUAGGAUUAGAAUCACUUGACAAACUGUUUUGAGGGGUUAAGGACGUAAUGUGUACACAGUUCCCAGUCCGAGAACUUGCCAUAAUGAGAGGUAGUUGACUUCUUUCCCUCAUACCAUCCACUUGAGAGUGACUAACUGCUCAUCUGCUAGGGUUAAACCAUAGUCUUAGCACAUCCGUAACCUAACUUUAAAGGAACAAGCCCAAAAUUAAACAGCACUGAGACAGAAAUAUGGUCCUGCCUAAAAACUUAGACAAGGGUUAUGAAGGGGAGGCCAAACAUUCCAAUAUACUAACAUUUCUUGAGAGUGAGCCAAGGCCAUAUAAAGGCAGAUCUAAGCACCCAACUGAUCCUAAAAUUAACCUGCUUUUCUGCGAUACCGAAGAACCCAACUUUUACCCCCAACUCAGUCAAGACUCCUAGAAUCCUAGGAGCCUAGAACUAAGCCUCAUAUGAAAUUAUGUAUGUGGGGAGAGGGUGAAUAAAAGAUAGCUAUUGAAUUUCCAGGAAGAGAAAACAAUGAUUGUGUUGCUGCCACCUUCCUAUCCUGUCUUGCACAUCCAGUGAAAUCAUUAACCUCUCAUAGAGACACAAAUAUUGCUAACAAGAGAAUACUAUUCCUCCUGACGUCAGAGACUGGUGUAAGACAAUGUGGCUGGAGCGGCCAGCUGGGCACGAUCUGCCGAAUGAAGAAGCUCAUUACCCACCGGGUGCAAAGCAGCAGCUCCCGUGUGGAGGGGAGGUCAAGCAGAGCUCUGCACCCUACCAGUUUUGUAAUAGGAGAACACACUGACCUGGCCCGUGAUACUAAUCGCCUGACUCGUGAACAAGCCCACCUAGCACCUGGCCCAGUCGUCCCUCAGGAGCUCAAGUGGGACCACCUGGAUCAGCUGGCAAAGAAACCAUAAAAGGAUCGCGGCAAUCUCCUUCAUGACGCGAUCUUCUCGGUUGGUUGGUUUGUUUGUUUUUGUAGGGGUUUGUUCUGUGUGCAGGUGUACCGCCUCUUUUUCCUUCUAAGCACUUUUUUUCUCGUUGGUCAUUUUUUGGAGGUGCUUCUUUUCCAUUUCUUAUUUUGCUUUAAGUAAAUGUUAAUGUACUUUCACCAAUUGUUUGUUGCAAUUCAUUAGAUGGAAUAAGAAUUUGAAAAUUACUUCUGGUACCCACAAUACCCCGAAAUACUACCACUUAAGACCUCAACAGUCUUUCAAUAUAAUCAAAUUUAAAACUUUCUAAUUGAGCUAAGAAACAGAAUCUGCUUUGAUUUAUAUUUUUUAAUCUAAACUUCUUGUGACCAUUUCUAUAGCAAUGGGGGGGGUGUUUUAUUUUUGGUUAAAAUAUCCGCAAAGAGAAAAGUUUCAGAUAUAACCCUAUUAAUAGACUCUUAUGAAUAAGAAAUCAAAGAGGGAGAUAAAAAUAAUGAAUAUGAUAAUCUUACCUUUGGACCUGCUGCUUCUCUGACUUGCUGGUGUAGAGAACUCCAUUUCUUUUAGAUUUUAGUUUUGAAUGUAGGAAUACCUAAUUUACUAGAUUAAAUGAUAAGGAGUGUCUGCUUCAAUUUGUCACCUUUCCCUACUGGGUUGCAUUGAACGAACCUAAAAUUAAGGUCCAUUCUACCAAGAGAGUCAAAAUUUCUGAGGAAACGAGGGCUGUGAAAGUGAAACCACUUGGUGUAUGUGCCACGGUCACCUCUGUAAAUACUCAGCUUCCCUCCAUCUAAAUUCUAAACCGAGUGUAGAAAUGGCUCAAUUGAUAUCUUCACAAAUAUUUCCCUGAUGAGGAUAAAGCUAGGAAUUCCUGAUAAGCAUAUGGAAGCACUUUAGAGUCGUGAUGGGCUGUUCAACAGUGGAAGUUUAAGACCAAGAAGAGGACUCAAACACAUGGACUCCUGUGCUCAAGUCAGUUUCAGAUUGCAAAUGAGCAGUCAUCUGAAUUCCCAACACUCUGCAUUAGGAGGAUUACUGCCCCAGGAAUUGGCAGUCAGGGAAUGGGAAAUAAAAAAUCAUCAGCAGGUAGUUUUACCUAAGGAUUUUAUAUGGGGUAAUGUUAAAGACACUUCAUGGUUAUAGACUUAACACCGAGAACUGUACCUGUUUGUUGGAAUGUACGCUUGAAUGAAUGUAUUGCCUACAUCAAUCAACAUUGUGAUAUACUCAGUUUAACUUGUUUUUGUACAUAAUUAAAUUGAAUUUAAAGCUUACAGUCACUUUGUAAUGUAGAUAUUGUGCUACCAUUAUACGGAUGAGUCUCAGGUUAUGCAUCUUGCCCAAGCAAGAGACUGAGCUGUGUCUAAAAGUUAGAUAGCUAUGUUCAGUCAUCCUGCCUUCUCCUCACCUUAGAAUCAAGAACAAAUAAGGGACUACUUUUUAGUGGCCCUGAUGACAACAAAAUUAAACUGUGAUGUGUUUGUUCAUGCAUUUAGGCAUUAAAUAUCUACUAAGUGCCUACUAGUGUAUGCCAAGGACAUUGUCAGAUUCUCAAAUGAUGUAGACAAAGACAUGAGUUCUUGUCCCAAAAGAGUUAUACAAAUUGAUAAUCAUCAUACCGAAUGCUGAGCAGUGUUUGAGACAGAUGCACUGUGGGCAGGUAUGAGAGGAAAUCUGUAUCCUUCUCCUUCAGAUUUGUCAAACAAAGGAUAUGAAUUAAGGUGGUGGACAGUUGAAAGUACUGGGUACAUUCUUAGGCAGAGAUUUCAUUGCUAUUAUCACAUGAUAAUAUCUAUCUUUAUGUAUUGUGCACUUUGCCUCAGACACAUUUGUUAUUUCCAAUUUUGGAAAACUGUCAUUCAUCCCCUGUCCAGGUUAAAAACUUUGAUUUUAUUUAAAGUUAAAAAUUCUGUAUUAGUGCCAGAGAUGAUAGUGGCAUAGUGUGAAGUUCUGAGUUUCUGAUACCAAAAAAAUUGUGCUAAAACUCUCUGUUCUUAGACAUUUUAUUUUCUAACCUUGUGAUCAUUUUUGUUGUUAUUACAAUAUCUGUCACAUUUACAUUAACUUUUUGAAACAAAUUAGCAUUUCUUAAAAGGCGAUGGGAUAACUUUAUACAACACAAAAGAAUUUCCUAGUAUUCUAUUCCUGUCUCUGUAUCCCAGAAUGAGAAGGGCUUCUACUUGCAACUCUUGAGUCACAUGGAAAAUUCUCAAUGCCACAUGAGUCUAUUACACUGAGUGCAAUUAAUUUUUCUUUUCCUUUCUUCUUUUAAUUACUAGCAUCUAAUUUCACCUCCGGGAAUUUAAUUUUUCCUAUUUUUAUAUGAUCCCAUAUGCUAUAUAUAAAUUCAUUUUUUAAGAAAAUUAAAAGUAUUUUAGUAGAAGCUAACAAAAGCAAACACACACAAAGGAAAUGCAGAUUCUAAACAUGUAGCUAAUUCAAAUUUACUUUCUUUUUAUUUACAGUAAACGACCAAAAACUUUUGUCUGUUUAUACCAAAACGUCUUUCCUGAUUCCUGGAUCUGGUUGUGCAUUUCCUGCCAUGACCAGUAUAAAAUAAAGAGUUUAUUGUUCUAAAAAAUUAUAAAACUCGUUUGAAAAAUAGCUAAAUUAUGAUGCAACUGUCAGCAAAACACAAGGGAACUUUUUUGUAGCUGUAAGAGUUGGCUAGAAGUAAAGAAAUGUUACUAUUCAACUCUUUUCUUAGGUCUAAUUGCAGUUCACUAAAACUUUUGCUAGAAAAGAGAAGACUAUGAUUAAAAUAGUAUAUAUAGUAGUCAUGAUUUUGUGCCACUUUGGUGCUAUUUGUUAGAGCUGUUGGAUGGAAGGAUAUUGACAGUAGCUAAACUUUCUGUAUCCCAAUAUUUAAUCAUUUUGUCAUUACAGGUCAAUUUAAUCAUAGAUAAGUAACUGUCAAGGAUAUGUAUCAAAAAAUUAAAGUCAAGCAUAGCACUGUCCAAUACAAACAUAAUAUAAGCUACAUAUAUGAUUUUAAAUUUAAUAGUCACAUUAAAAAUAGAUGAUCAAAUCAAUUCUAAUUCAUUUUACUUAAAACUUCCAAAAUACUGUUAUUUUAGAUGUGUUAUUAAUUCUAAUAAAAGAGAUACUUUUACAUUCUUUUAUGCAUGCUAUAUUUUAAAAAUUUUGUCUAUUUUUGCAUUUAUGGAGCCUCUCAUUUGGCACCAGCCAACAGUCCUGCAAGAGCUGAAUGUGCAGGCAUGACUAGUGGCCCCUGCAUACUAUGAUGCAGCUUUCAAGGUUGGAUUAGAUUGUUUUGUUUUGUCUGACAUUGACCAAUUUCAGUUGUGUGUCUUGCUGAUCACAUUAGUAAAUUAAGACCGCAUAAGAAAACAUAUGGCUAAAUAACACAAGUAUGCUAUGUCCAUACUGACUUUUGCAUGUGCAUCAUAAAAACAAGCUGAGAAUUAAACCUUUUUGUUUUAUCUGAGCUUUCUUUACAAUAAUAUAAUUUCUAAACAUAAUCUGAAAAAAGAAGCAGAGAAUUUUCCAGUUUUCACUGUUUCAAAUGCAUUUCAACUCAAAGGAAAGAUUUCAGUGAUAUUGCUUUAUUCAAAGAUAACUGCUUUUGUUUUGUAAUUAAUGUCAGCAAAUACAUAACUCCGAAUAGUCACCACCUUGCAAAGACAAACUAAAGGGUCAUAACCUAUGUAUAGUUCACCCCCCAGUGCUUUGAAAAUCUGAGCCUCUGGCAGCCUAGCCCUGCCUGGAAGAUUGUGAAGUGCUGUGGCAAUGGUCCCCAAAAAUCAAAAGACUGAGGUCAAACUCCGUGUCACUCAGUUGGACAGUUGGGUAAUCUUGGAGACUUAUAUAGUCUCAUCUCUGAAAUAAAGGACACAUUACCUUUGUCAUUGGUAUAUAAUGGAGAUUAUAUUGGAUCAGGCAGGAGAAAAAUUCCUGUCCCACAGUGAAUACUCGGUAAAUGCUCACUAUUUCAGACAUUAGAUAAGCAAGAAAUGGCACAAAUUAUUGUGUAAACUUCUUGCCUUUUACAUAGCAGUGAUUUUCUCUAUUACACAUUUGAUCUAUCUAGGUUUUCCCGAGUCAACAUCACAUGAUCUAAAAUCAGUUGAUGUUAUGUUCUGUAAAGCAGAAGAAAAUUUUUACUGGGGCAGUGAAGAUUAUUCUUUUUAAACAAUCUGUUUGUUUAUGUUGAUCAUGUAACUUCUUGAUCAGUUCUUGGUAAAAUUCUAGGAAGAAGUACCACCAGAGGCUUUCACUGCUUUCUUAAUCAAUAUCAAUAUAAUUAAAAAUACAGUCCUCUAACAUCACAGCUCUCAAGCUGUCAGACUUUGCCACCUCUUUAACUAACCAACAAAUUGUAACUCCACCUGGGCCAUAUAGCUCAUCUGUGUCUGUUUAACAAGGGAAACAUGUUUUUCUCAAAGAUUUUAUUCUGGUAAUCAAUACAAUGUGACAUCACGUGAAAAACCACACACAUUGGGGGAAAAAACCAGACACGGUGAACUUCCAUUGGCCAAGGCUGUGAUUAUACUAAAUUAUAGCAAAGCAAUCUCUGAAAUUUCACAUACACGGCCUAGAACACUGGGGGCAACCGUAUAGCAUAUGUGUUAUUUUUCUUUUCAGACAAAAGUUGCUAAUGCAUGAGUUGUUCUUUUCUAAAUGAAAACCUAGUAUUCAAUUUUAAUCAUAGUGUUGGCACUUUGCAUUAAAUAAGUGAGUUUGGGGUUGCAGUUGGGCAUGCAUCCCUAAAAGUUCAACAUCACUGGCCUCGAGCUUGUGCUUCUUCUGCAAUGGUCACACUUUUCACUUUCGGUGUUAGAGAUAAUCAACAAGAGGUGCUUAUCAUCAUAACAGGUAUGUAGAAAGUUCCUGAUAAAUGUUAUUCACUGCAGGCAUAUGCGUACAAUGGAUUUUCAUAAAAAGGAUGUAUUCUGCUGAUUGGAUUUUUUAUGUAUCACAGGAGUUGUUGGAGACAGGCAGUAGCAUCCGAACCUUUCUGUAGAUAUCUAUUGUCACAACCAACUGGAGUUAUCAUCUCCCUGCAAAACUGGAAGAAAUUAAAAAACGGCAACAGUAGAAGGUCUUGCUUGCAGCUUAUGGAGCUUUUGUGAGUUUCUGAAGUCUGCACCCCAUAUUAAGAUACAAAUGAAAACCCUUAGAAUUUCAGUAAGUCUAGUGUUUUGAAUUUGUUUAUAAAAAUGGUAUGCAAUAAUCCUAUAAUUCUGAAGUUAAAGAAACAGACUGAAAAAAGAAGCAACAGGAAAAGAUACUCUGAGUAUUCAUCUUUUCUGGUUUCAGAACCUAAGAAGCCUACAGAGAAUGGGUGCAUUUGGAUAACCCGGAAGUGCUGUUGCUGACUUGGAAGGUUUAUGUUGUCAUGUUUCACUGGUUAAUAUGUCACCAUAAUUUAUGCCAUUAGAUUUCUUUUCUUAAAGAUUAACCACUUGGGCCCGGGUAUUUAGCUCAGCGGCAUAAGCGCCUGCCUUGCAAGUGUGUGGUCGUGAGUUCGAUCCCUGGUACCAAUAAAAAAGAAAAAGAUUAACCACUUACGAAUAUCCCUGAGAAUCAGUAGAAUAGCACAUUUGUUUGUACUAUCCUAAGUGUCGGUGAAGUAGGUGUCAUUUUAACCAGACAAUUCUUACAAUGAAUAAAUUCGAAAAACUUGUCAUUUUUUAUAUUUUCUGUUAUAUUAUUUUAUAAAAAUUGAUUAAAAAACUAAUCAAUUGUUGGUCAUCCUGUACUUAAAUAAUUGGAAUCAUAAGUGGUUAAACAAAAGAAUGUAGUAACAACUCACCCAGAGUUAGAGUCUAAUGUCAAGGCUCAUAUUGAAAGUGCACCUUUGAUCUUUUAGAUGUAAUUCUAUGUCUUCAAGGGAAAAUAAACGUUAUAAAAUGUA